ACUUUUAGUUUGCAGAGGAGUGGUAAUACAGAAAAACGGAUGUCUGUUGAAGGAUGUAUCUGCUGCUCCUUGUUCACAUCUUCCAGUCGUUUCUGUUGGCCGUCCGCUCCUGUCCAGCUCUAUGUGUCUGCUCGUAUGGAAACAGUGGAACAGCACAGCUCAGGCUGGUGCAGUGCAGUGACUCUGGAAUCUUAGUUGUUCCCAUCAACGUGCCGGCUGACACAGUUAAACUGCGUCUGGAGAAAACCUUGAUCUCCAGGUUGCCCCGGGCAGCAUUUUACAACCUUUCAGAGCUGCAGUUCUUGUGGCUUGUCUACAACUCCAUCACAUCCAUCCACCCCAGCAGCUUCGUCAACCUCAAGUCCCUGCGAGAGCUGCGUCUGGACGGAAACCUCCUGACAUCCUUCCCGUGGGAGGGGCUAAGGGACACACCUCAGCUCCAGACUUUGGGUCUUCACAACAACCGUUUGUCCAGCCUUCCUGCUCACGCUGCUCUCUUUCUCCUCAAUAUCACCUGCCUUGACCUGUCCAGCAACAGGCUGACGAUGUUACCUGCUGAGCUGCUGGACCUCUGGCUUCCUCUCCCAGGACAACAACAGGAAGGACAAGUAAAACGACGAAUAUUGGGUGUCCACGACAACCCUUGGUUGUGUGACUGUCAGAUCUUCACGCUGAUGUCCUUGUCCAUGUCCCUGGGGAGUCCCAUUGCUCUCAUGGAUCAGCUGCUGAUGUGCAGCGAGUCAAAGGGUCAGUCAGCAAUGCUCUUGACCAAGGCUGAACUGUCCCGCUGUAUGAGGCCCUCAGUCCAGCCUGCAACCACCAGUGUGAUUUCAACACUGGGCAGUAACGUAAUUCUCCGCUGUGACGCUAGAGGCUAUCCAACACCAACCCUGACUUGGAUCAAAACUUCAUCUUACACUGAUUGUUGCCAGCAACACCUCCUUGAGAAUUCUGAACAGUUACCAAGGACAUUGGACAGCUCAUUUUGACAACAAUGUCAAAACGACCAAGACUUUCAGGUGCCCAAGGAAGGAAAAAAAGAAAAGAAGAGGAGGAAAAAUGCGACAAAGACAGAGAUGCGCUGUUGAUAUUUCUUAAUCCUGGGCCAGACAUCACCGCUUCAACAGCAUCAACUGAUCCUCCUGUCGCCUCCACCUCCGAAGAACCCAUUGAUGCAGCAUCAGUAAUUUGGGCUGCACCAGUAGACCCUGCUGACAGAAGGACGGCCCAAGGUGUCAACAUGAGUAUUUUAACAGACACAUAGUCAAUGGGGACAUAAUCAGAAGAAGCUGUCUGAUGUACUCAAAAAAGGAUGAUGAGAGCUUACAUUGCUUCUGCUACUAAAUGUUUUCCAAGAGAGAUUACAAACUGAAUAUGGAAGGACCAAAGGACUGGAAAAAUGAAAGCCACUUGCUCAAGGUCCAUGAGGAUAGCCAGGAGCAUAAUGCUCACAUGGCAACAUGGAAGGACUUGGAGGUCCGUUUUGCGAAAGGCUCACAAAAGAUAAACAAGCGAUGACACUCGCUGAGGCUGAGAGAAAAAGGUGGCGCAACAUUCUACAUCGAUUGCAAUAUUUCAGUCCUUAGCUGAAAGAAACAUAGCUUUAAGGGGGUCCACAGACACAUUAAAUAAACCAGACAAUGGCAAAUUUCUAAAAGAGGUGGAGCUCAUGGCCAAAUUUGAUCCAGUAAUCACACAGCAAGCCUCUGUCGGCCUCAAAUCCCAUCAGCACACACACAGAGCCACCAAAAACAAUACUUCACUCCCGCCGUCAGGUCCUAACACAUUCCUAAGAGAUCCUAACAAAGUCCUA